UAACCAGAGGCUGAGAUGGGUGCAUGUGGGGUGUGGGGGAUAGGAUCAAGGAAGAGAGGUUGGUUAAUGGAUACAAACACAAUUAGAUAGAAGGAAUAAGUUCUAAUGUUUGAAAGCAGAGUAGGGUGACUAUAUUGAUCAAGUUUGAAUAGGAUAAAAAUAUUUUUACUUUUUUUUUUUGCAAUUUACAUGCAAGAUUUUUUAAAUGUGUUUUUAAUAUAAGCUUCUCUCUCUGCCACCAGGCUUAUUACUCUAGGCAGGGAGCAAGCCUGCCGUGGGAAGGCAAGGGAAUGGCCUCAAUCUGCUCUGUUUCCCUUUUUUCGUGUGGGUCUACUGCUCCCCCUACAACACAGUUGGGUUUGAUAGAAGGGGGUGUGGGGAAGGCCACAGCCAUGUUGGUAGGGAAGGUAACGGGCAGGGAGAGUUCAUCUGCCUGUUAUGUUGGGACUUGGUUUAGCAACCCAAAUACAUAUGUACUACUAUUAGAUUUGGUGCAAAAUUAAUUGCGGUUUUUGCCAUUACUUUUAAAUCACAAAAUAGUCUAUAAUGCACUUUAGCACUGGCAAUGUGAUAUUAUGUAUGUAUACAUUGGUUGGUCCAAGCUACACCCAAGAAUAGUAAAGAAUUCAUAUUCCAGGAUGGUCAGCUAGCAUUUAUGAGAAAGGCCAAACUCCAAAAGCUUGCUUCCCUUAUCUUUAUCUCCCAACAACACCCAACUGAUUUUGCUAAAUUAGCAGAGUGAAUAUGAAAAUGAGAUGCCAUUGAUGAAAUUAUUACCUUGUUUAAUUAGCAUAAUGGAUGUUAAAAACGGGUUCUCAUGUUUAAUUGUUUAUAUUAAAGGUAUAUUACAUGAUGUUUUGAUAUUGUGGUUUUGAUUUUCAUUUCCCUAGUGACUAGCGAUAUUGACCAAACUAAUUACUACCUUUUCAACAUCGGCUACUCAGGAGGCUGAGGCUGAGGUGGGAGGAUCACCUGAGCCAGGGAGAUCAAGGCUGCAGUGAGCUGCGACGGUGCCACUUCACUCAGGAGCCUGGAUGACAGAGUGAGACCCUGUCUCAAAAAAAACAAUCAUCCAGCAGGGGCUCUAAAACCCUGUAAAUAUUCUCUCCUUGGCUCAUCCCUUCUGAGAACUGGCAAAGAGCUGCUCUCCCUUACUGAAGUGGGUCUUAUAAACUUAGCUUUGCUUGAUCAACAGGUUUUCAAGGAAUCCACAGUGGUAUUCAAGACAAGUGAAUGCGAAAAUGAGAGACAAAAACAUUGUUCACACACUCUGUUUUGUAAGCAUGAUACAAAUCUCCACUCUCUAUACUUUAAGCUUCAGAACAAAGGGCAUGAACAAUUCUUUUGUCUGAGGGCUAAUAAGUGGAUAGCAGAAUUUGAUCUGAGAAUCAACUUCAUUUUAACAAUUAACUUGGCAGAAAGGUUACUUCUAAGCUUUGGCAAUUACCUGUUGCUACCAAACUAAACCCACUAAUUAAAGCAUACCCAAAUUGGCUUAGGUCAGUCUGCAAAACAAGGUACUGCCCAGGUCUUGAUUCCAACCGUAGAUGAAUCACCCAA
rnacentral:lncRNA from 10 species